UACGUAGGGGGCAAGCGUUGUCCGGAUUUAUUGGGCGUAAAGAGCUCGUAGGUGGUUCGGUAAGUCGGAUGUGAAAUCUCCAGGCUCAACCUGGAGGGUCAUUCGAUACUGCCGUGACUAGAGGUCGGUAGGGAGUGUGGAAUUCCUGGUGGAGCGGUGAAAUGCGUAGAUAUCAGGAGGAACAUCCGGUGGUAGAGACGGCUCUCUGGACCGUAACUGACGUUGAGACACGAAAGCGUGGGUAGCAAACAGG
rnacentral:rRNA from 1 species